AGAGUGGGGGGGACCAGUACAGACCAAUACAGACCAGUAUAGAUCAGUAUAGACCGGUAUAGACCAGUAUAAACCAGUAUGGACCAGUAUAGACCAGUAUAAACCAGGAUAGACCAGAAUAAACCAGUAGGGACCAGUACAGACCAGUAUAAACCAGUAUAGA